UACGAAGGGGGCUAGCGUUGCUCGGAAUCACUGGGCGUAAAGCGCACGUAGGCGGCUUUCUAAGUCAGGGGUGAAAUCCUGGAGCUCAACUCCAGAACUGCCUUUGAUACUGGAGAGCUAGAGUCCGGAAGAGGUGAGUGGAACUGCGAGUGUAGAGGUGAAAUUCGUAGAUAUUCGCAAGAACACCAGUGGCGAAGGCGGCUCACUGGUCCGGGUACUGACGCUGAGGUGCGAAAGCGUGGGGAGCAAAGCAGGAU
rnacentral:rRNA from 1 species